UGAAGAUGGUGAUGAGAGUGCUCCUGCUAAGUAGUGGUACUUUAGAUGAUGAUUACGAUGCUGCGACUAUUGCUGUAGCUGCUGAAAUAAUAAUGAUGCUGCAUCUGCUGCUGACAAUGAUGAUGCCCCUCUCCACCCACCUUCGUCCACCCCCACAGGUUCCGAGGAGGAGCGCCGCGUGGUGGUGUAAGCACUCAGCCUGCUGAAGCGCGGGAGUGCAGAGAGGCGAACCCACGAGGUGGAGACAGGAGGGCCAGGGUCCUCCUGGGGGAACAAAGCGAGCGGCGUCCUGGCGGGGUCGAGAGGGCAGGAGACGCAGCGGAUAUUGGCAGGGCUCUGGAUAGCGGCGCGUGCUGGUGUGCGAGCCCCCGAGCGCGUACCUGCACCUGGCCGUGGACCACUUCGCACUCGUGCUGGUGGCGUGUGCGCCGGUGCUCGACAUGGCGCCGAGAUUGCACGUGACCCGUGUGCGCUCCCCACGCUUGCACGUGAUGGAGGGGACCCACGUGGGUCGCGAUCUCUUCUCCGAGCUCUGCUUCACGAACCCCGUGGCACGCCCCCUGCACCGCGUGCGCGUCCGCGUGGAGGGAGCCGGCGUGCACACGCCGAGCAACAUACUCGUCGG